UUUUGUUGUGUACUUUGGUCAAAGGAAGAGAAAGAUGGAGUCCCUUAGAAAAGGAAAAGGAGACUGAUGGGAUUUCGUUUUAAAGGAAGAAGAGUCUGAAGCUAACGUGUAAACCUACGAGAGUUCUGACGAAUCACAAAAGAAAAAGAAUAGCUCAAAGUUCUGGUGGCAUGGGUGCCGUGAAUUCGAAAUAACAACAGCGAUCCUCAAAUACAGAAUUUGAAAGAAAAAGAUACAGAUUACCCAGAAAAGAAAAAGAAAACAAAGUGAACAAGACAAAACCAGACCUGAAUUGAAAAAGCAGAAGAAAGGCAAAAAAGGAAAUACGAAGAACAUGACAACUAGACGCACCAUAUAUGAUAGCUCAUAUGUAUAUGACUAUAUAUGUCAAAAGAAACAGAUAUUUUAUUCUAUAAUACAGGAACUAAUAGAACUCAUUUUCUUUUUUGAUUUGAUUUGUUUUAUACAUGAGUUAUCAUAUUUGUUGUGUCUAUUUUACCUAGCAGUUGAACAACAUAUGGUUUCAACAGCAACAGUACAAUUAUGUUUUAUUCAAAAUAUUGUGCAUGCUUUAAUAUGUAAUUUUCAAGAAUUUAAAUUUUCUGUUUGUGCUGUACUGACAUUAAACAGUUUAUAAUUUA